GUUCUGCAGUGUUACGGCUGAGCAUACAGUACUGCAUUAAAAAAAAACAGCCGCUAACGUUGCGCCGGAACGUAACCCAGACCUGACAUGAAUACACGAGUUUAACUUGAGGAGCAUGGUAAAAUGAUCAUCUCCGGAUGUCGAGCGCUGAUGUCAGUGCCGCCGGCCAGGUAAUUGGUUGGGCGACGUUUGAUUAGUUAACACGAAGAACGCAAGCGGUUUCAAAUUCUGGUUAAUCGUAUCACUUCUCCUUUGCUCGAUUAAUUUGAUUCCGUUAAUAUUUCUUCCAAAUAAGAGUUAUUUUCCAGUGUAUAAGAUCGGCGAGUUGCAGUACCUGGCGGAAACUAAGGGUGGGUGUAUCGUGUGCUGAUCAUCAUACCAACAUGAUUGAAAACCAACAUACUGUCCUCCCAAACACGAAAGUGUCCGGGUGUAGAAAAUAUCCUCCGGGUGCUGAUUACCGUCAAUCGAAUCCCCUGUCAUGCCAAGUCCUUCAGUAUUAAACAUAAUUUAUAUUCAGGAAGUGCAGUUGAACAAGUGGCCCUGGAAAGCACCACAGAACAGUGGGUCUAGAAGUACAAGCGCACAUUUUCCUGAAAGUGGUGAAACGGGUAGAAGGAGACAAUAUUGGGAUGGCUCAAUUGCCCUCAUACCUGGAAAGAUCUUUUUGCUACUUUGAACCCUUUUAGCAGUGCCAACCUAUUUUGGAUUUUCUGCACCCUGAUCUCAGUGCUCCAAAAUCAGAACAUACUGGAGGACAAAGAUGAGCAGAUGCCCUGGCAGACAAUAUUGAAUAGGCAUACUGGUGGAUAUCAGUGAGCACUUGUAACGUUCAAUCAAUUUCGUGGAUCUGGCAAGUGAUACAGAAAGCACUCUCUGCGAAUAAGUAUGUUAAUCAAUUAUUUACAAACAGCAAAAAUUUGACAAAAUAUUCAUGUUGCCCAAGUUAUAGAUGCUACAAAUCUGAAUAUUCAGCAAACAUAUGUACAUUCAACAAAUAUACUUAGUUAAAAGUGAGUGCAGAGCAUAUCUUCCCAAUGGUCAUGUCUUAGACAAAGGAAGAAGAGACCAAGCCUCUUCCACUUGUUAUUUUAUACACCCAAGAUAUUUGAAACUGGACACCAGGCAUCUAUCCAAUGGGGAAAGCAGCUGCACCUCCUAAGCUAACCAAUCACAAAGGAAACAGCUUUUGACAAUCAGAAUAAGGCACCCCCCCCCCCCCACAGGUCAACACUGUGCAAUGGUGUGCAGGCUCCUGGUGGGCAGUGGUGAGAAGAGUUUAUGGAGAGCAAUUCUGAACUGAUGUCACAUACAGCUGUGGUGAGCAGAAGACUUAGUGCACAAUGAUGAACGAAGGGUCCAGCAUCAAAUGGUGAACAGAGUUGUCCAAUGACGAGUAGAGGUUCUGGGCAACCUUGGGUAAAUCUCCCAGUGGGCAAUGAUAAGUAGAUGUCCAGCAACCAUUGGUGAACAGUAGCCCCAACAAAUAAUGAUGUAAAGAUUUCAGUGGGCACUGUGGAGCAGAUAUCCUGAAGGGUAAUGGUGAACAGAGGACCUGGUGGUCAGUGGUGACCAAGAGGGUAAUGAUGAGCGACUUUGUGUGUAUAGUGAGGAAACCUCAGUGUCCAGAGGUACUGAAGGGUAAUAGUAACGAGAAGGCUUGGAGGGAAAUGGUCCAUAGUCAGUUCUGCAUCUUUAACAUACACUGAUUCUGGCAGGUGGCAGGCUUGCUGUCACCCAUGCUCAAUCAUGAAACCAUUCUGAAAUCGGUUGUGCUUUUUCCAGUACAGUAAUUGAUUUUCCUUCAUCCAUUAAAUUAUUCCAAGUACUAACCUGAAAAAAACUACUGUUUUCAUUGGUAACACUUAGAGUUACAAGACUAACUUGAAAACUUUAUGCAGUAUUGUUUUAGUAAUUUCUCAAACUUAUUAUGAAAAAAACCCUCAGAACUUUGGAGGGUCUGUGGUGCCUUUGCCUUGCUAUAGGUAAGGAACUUUCAAAUUCAUUGUCCUUCUUUACUCCAACAGAGGCAGCAUUAUUUAUUUUAGUGAUACAUAUUGUGUGCAUAGUAUUAAGCUAAAUAUGGGUCAGUUUACUUCGGGAUCAUAUUUGUUCUGUUAUUUACCAAAAAGCAAUAUGAAUGCUGAAUUAAUAUAAUGUAUCAUUUUAACAAUAGUCAACAUAUAAAAGAAAAAACAGAAAUAAUUAAGGCACCAACUUUGGAAUCUUCAUGCAAUGGAAUA